rnacentral:rRNA from 1 species
UUGCUAGUAUUAUUCUCUUUACACCGGUUCUCGUCCGAUCACCGAAGUUAAGCAACCGACCGCCUGGGAACACCGCGUGCCGUUGGCU